rnacentral:lncRNA from 1 species
UGGGGGGCCCUGCUUUUAUGGGAAAGGAUUUGUGUGUCUAAGUGGUCAACAUUGCUAGCUCAAAGUGCCCCUCUUUUUUAGACAUCCAGUGCUUUGCUAAGCCUCAGAGAGGGGAUGGGAAAAAGUAGCAAAUACCAUGCAAUUAAAGGUAGGGAAACUCCUAAGGCAGCACCUGUGGAAAGGAAAAGUGGAGAACAUUCCUAAACUUCUGCCCACACACCUCAGUGAGGUGGAUUUGUUCUGUAUAUAACUCUCAGUAAUCAUGGCCAUUACCUUCCUCCUCACUUCCCCGCCCCCAGGUAAGAUAUUCCUUUUAUCUGCAAGGGAGCUUAGUCAUCUAGCAGCCCCCAGCACUUGGUACCACAUUGUUUGGUAGGCUCUAAAUUUCCUGAUCCCAAUAAGUCCUCACCUAAGCCAGGACACCUUCCUGAAUGCUGAACAGCUUCAAGAAUCCAAGCCAGGUCCCUCCAAGGUUAGGACUCAUCUGUCAACCAGGCUGGGCCUGGAAGGCAAGGACAGCCACUUUCAGGGAAAGUCAAGUUCUAGGCAAAGCUAGUUCUAGUUCAUUAGCUCUGUAAAUAGUUAUAACUAGUGAACUCCAGGAGUACUUUAAAUAUUAUGUUGACAGAGCACAGGGGCUACAAACAAGCUUACCUUAAAUCUUCUUCUAGUCAACUAAGUUCUUUCUUCACAAUCAUUGGUCAAUAUAAUUAGGGGCUGUCAUACCAGAAGGAAAUCAAAGAUCCAAAGAAGGUCAGGAUUAAAACAGUGGAGAGCUUCAGAUCCAGUAAUACACACAGAAUACAGUGUGACUCCUUUAAGGAAUUCAGAGUUACCUCAAAGUCCACUGAAAUUUCUGGGACUGAUUUUUCCCUAUUUCUCCUAUGAACAACAGAUAAAAAUGCUGAAUAUUAUAUAUAAAACAAAUAUAAUAAGACUCUGAAAGGUGGAGAUAAGUCAGACCAGCUAGGAACCUCAGAACCUGAGGGGUGACUCACUUGAGGUGAGUUUCUUUUUUGCCUAUGUAUCCCAAAUGUGGUGCUGGAGAAGCCAGAAACCCAAACAUACCAAUGGGAACUGACAUAAAAAGCCAAUGAAAAUAUUUCCCUCUCUAGCCAAAGAAUCAUGAAAGGGUCAGCCUAGAAAGAUAGAAAACUUCUCCUUAAUAACCAUUCUAUUUCAGUCAAACACCAUGGAAAAAACCAUGGUCCCAGCACCACCCCAGCCAGCAAAGGCAAAGUGGAGAGCCUGGAUUCCCACUUUCAUCAUGCUGUAGCAAAUAACCUCUCUCCCAUUCAUCACCAUGGUAGUGUCAAAGUAGGCUAAGUAUGGAGCUCAGACUUUCACCCCAGCCAGACAGAAACACAUGUCCCUUGCAUCCCCAGUAGUAUCAGAAGAAAUCUAGUGGUAUGCCUGAACUCCCACCCCCACAUAGCAGUAACGAGGAGCUGUUCAACACUGGGGUGUCAGUAGUGGCCCAGUGGGGAACCUUAACUUGACAGUAAUGAGGUAGUGUACCCUUUCUUCCACUGGCAUGCUGUCAGAGGAGGUCUGCUAAAAUAGAUUUUUUUAAAACCCCACAGUUUCAUUACAUACUACUAAAAAUGUCCAGGUUUCAAUAAAAAAUUCAUGACACAAGAACAUCAUACCAGACCCAAGAAAAUAUCAAUUUGAGUAAAAAAAUAAUGAUGAUAAUGAGAUGGCACAGAUGUUAGCAUUAUCUGACACGGAGCUUAAAGCAGUUAUCAUAAAAAUGCUUCAGUGAGUAUUUAUGAACAUGCUUGAAAUAAUCCAAGAAUUAGAAAGUCUCAAUAAAUAAAAAGAAGCUAUAAAGUGAGACCAAAUGGAAGUUUGGAACUAUAAAUACAGUAAUUGAAAAAAAAA